CUUCGUAUAACUUCNNNNNNNNNNNNNNNNNNNNNNNNNNNNNNNUACUGACAGGUGUACACACACACACACACACACACACACACACACACACACACACACACACACACACACACACACACACACACAUAUAUAUGUUUAUAUGAUAUAUGUACUGUAUGUAUUAUACAUAUUACAUAUUAUAUUAUAUUACCAGUAUAUUAUAUUUAAAACACACCGAUUAUUACUUUUUACAUUAAUUACACAUAUGCUUCAGAAUAUUGAUUUUGAUUGAUAUGAUUUCUGAAUGUUAAGUUUAAUGUGAGUGUUGUGAUUGUAUCCUCAUUGCUUUGUGCAGUGGGUAUAGAGGCUCAGAGACAGGAGGAUUUUCAACAGCUUGGCCAUCUAUCUACUGCUGUCAUCAGUGGUCCUGAUUUUUGGAAGUUGCCUAUUUCAUUGACACUCUGUUGGCAAUGCGCCUUCCAUUUUCAUUCUUUGGAAGAAGAUGGUCAAAGUUGGGGUUUUUCAGAAGUCUCUAUAAUACACAAUGAUUUCUUUGAUGUGUUUCCUGCAUCCAGUGCUUGUAUGGCAUGCUGUAAUACCAGAUCUCUUGCAUCCAGUCUCCAUACGUCAAUACAAUUAAGAGAUUCCAUUCAUCAUACUGACCCAGAUGAGAGGGUUUUCAGCCUAAAGACUGGACAGCAACCCCCCAAGCGUUAUUCCUCUCCAUUAACCUCUACAGAUGACUUCAACAUCCUGAAUACUUGA
rnacentral:lncRNA from 1 species